AUGAACGCCGGCGGUGUGCCUAAUACAUGCAAGUCGAACGCGUUGGCCCAAUUGAUUGACGGUGCUUGCACCUGAUUGAUUUUGGUCGCCAACGAGUGGCGGACGGGUGAGUAACACGUAGGUAACCUGCCCAGAAGCGGGGGACAACAUUUGGAAACAGAUGCUAAUACCGCAUAACAGCGUUGUUCGCAUGAACAACACUUAAAAGAUGGCUUCUCGCUAUCACUUCUGGAUGGACCUGCGGUGCAUUAGCUUGUUGGUGGGGUAACGGCCUACCAAGGCGAUGAUGCAUAGCCGAGUUGAGAGACUGAUCGGCCACAAUGGGACUGAGACACGGCCCAUACUCCUACGGGAGGCAGCAGUAGGGAAUCUUCCACAAUGGGCGCAAGCCUGAUGGAGCAACACCGCGUGAGUGAAGAAGGGUUUCGGCUCGUAAAGCUCUGUUGUUAAAGAAGAACACGUAUGAGAGUAACUGUUCAUACGUUGACGGUAUUUAACCAGAAAGUCACGGCUAACUACGUGCCAGCAGCCGCGGUAAUACGUAGGUGGCAAGCGUUAUCCGGAUUUAUUGGGCGUAAAGAGAGUGCAGGCGGUUUUCUAAGUCUGAUGUGAAAGCCUUCGGCUUAACCGGAGAAGUGCAUCGGAAACUGGAUAACUUGAGUGCAGAAGAGGGUAGUGGAACUCCAUGUGUAGCGGUGGAAUGCGUAGAUAUAUGGAAGAACACCAGUGGCGAAGGCGGCUACCUGGUCUGCAACUGACGCUGAGACUCGAAAGCAUGGGUAGCGAACAGGAUUAGAUACCCUGGUAGUCCAUGCCGUAAACGAUGAGUGCUAGGUGUUGGAGGGUUUCCUCCCUUCAGUGCCGGAGCUAACGCAUUAAGCACUCCGCCUGGGGAGUACGACCGCAAGGUUGAAACUCAAAGGCAUUGACGGGGGCCCGCACAGGCGGUGGAGCAUGUGGUUUAAUUCGAAGCUACGCGAAGAACCUUACCAGGUCUUGACAUCUUGCGCCAACCCUAGAGAUAGGGCGUUUCCUUCGGGAACGCAAUGACAGGUGGUGCAUGGUCGUCGUCAGCUCGUGUCGUGAGAUGUUGGGUUAAGUCCCGCAACGAGCGCAACCCUUGUUACUAGUUGCCAGCAUUAAGUUGGGCACUCUAGUGAGACUGCCGGUGACAAACCGGAGGAAGGUGGGGACGACGUCAGAUCAUCAUGCCCCUUAUGACCUGGGCUACACACGUGCUACAAUGGACGGUACAACGAGUCGCGAACUCGCGAGGGCAAGCAAAUCUCUUAAAACCGUUCUCAGUUCGGACUGCAGGCUGCAACUCGCCUGCACGAAGUCGGAAUCGCUAGUAAUCGCGGAUCAGCAUGCCGCGGUGAAUACGUUCCCGGGCCUUGUACACACCGCCCGUCACACCAUGAGAGUUUGUAACACCCAAAGUCGGUGGGGUAACCUUUUAGGAGCCAGCCGCCUAAGGUGGGACAGAUGAUUAGGGUG
rnacentral:rRNA from 1 species